rnacentral:lncRNA from 10 species
CCGUAAAGCAGACAGGGAUUCUCUCCUUGUAUUUGCCAGUCACUAGAAACUAGUGACUAUGGAACUAUAAGGCAUGAAAUGAUUGGCUUAUUUACUUACUUACUGUAGGUAGGCCUUAAUUCUAUUAACUCUUUGUAUCACUUAACAGCUUUAACUGUGGAGAAAACUGGCAUGAUCCUGUUAAAUGUAAGUGGUUAAAGAAAUGGAUUAAAAAGUGCGACGAUGACAGUGAAACCUCCAGUUGGAUUGCAGCCAACACAAAGGUUAGUGUUUUCCUUCAGUAAUUCUUGGUAAUGAAAAUGAUAAGGGUUGGUGUUUUGGCAUUAGCAAAAGCAAUAAAGUGACCUACUUACAGGCUUCGUUUCAUCUUUUUCUCCAUUGAGUCUUUUUUUUUU